GUGUUAGGCUUCGCUGGCGUAAAGUCCCCGGGAGCUUUGCCCCUCACGGAGAACGUUAGUUGACCCUGAUGGGGACCCGUAGGGUAAAGGUUUUGUUUUUGUUUUUUUUUACGGAAAAGGUUGUGGUUAGGCCCCUUGGAAAGUUGCGACAAAACUCGAGUUAGACAAGGAAGGUCGGAACUAAGUGGCCACAGCAACAAUGCACCAGCAAGCAGGGAGCGUGAUAGGAAGAGCUAAAGAGGAAUCGGGAAACCCUGGGUAAAAGUCGUCCAAGUGGAACUUCCUUUGGUCGGGGGUCUGAUACUCGAAGGAAACGGUCUUUCACUUCUGGGUUAGGGCGUCCGCCCAGAGGGCGACUGCAAUGAAGGAAAUUGUGCCCUGCGACUUCCCGUAACAGAGCUGUGUGUCCACGCUCCCUUUUCCGAGCAGGCGCGGACGCUUGUGCCGGAAGUAAACUUGUUAACGGUUCUUUGCCUUUUGGGGAGGGGAGACAGCCCAGAGAAGGCUUUGGAGACCCUUGAGUCGGCCAGCGAGCAGGGUUUCUUACUUGAGCGCCUCCACAAAUAAACGCUCCUUCGCUCCUCCGUCGCGUGCGUUUCCCUGGGAUAAUAAGUGGGAAAGUGGUGGCUUUUAUUUUUUUGAGACAGGGUCUCACCGCCGUCGCCCAGGCCGGAUGGAGUGCAGUGGCGCGAUCACGGCUCACUGCAGCCUCGACUUCCCAGGCUCAGAGAUGGGUUUCACCAUGUUUCCCAGCCUUGUCUCAAACUCCUGACCUCAAGUGAUCCGCCGUCUUGGGUCUUCGAAAGUGCUGGGACAGCAGGAGUGAGCCACCGCAUCUGGCCCGGAAAGUGUUUUGGAGCGUAGAAAAAUGCAAAUUAUAGGGCUGCCUUCAAGGAUCCCGAAGGACCCACAGAUUUGCCGCAUCAGGCUCCUAUGCACGCCGAAAUGCCCAGGAGGAUUGACGAGAUUGAGGUCAAGAUCGUGGCCCAGUGUGUGGCGCUCCAAGCCAGCUCUUCCCCUUUCAAAACCAGAAAAGCCGCAUGUUUAGAUCGCUCUAGGAGAUUCAUCUCCAUUACGAUACAGGAUAUGGGCUGUUUGAAAACUAUUUCAUCAUCUUUAUCAUCAUCAUUCAGUUCAGCCACUUGAGAUUUUCGCCUCUCCAAAAAUGUUGGUGUACAAACUGGUGUGGGGCCCUGGAUUCAACAAGUAAAGAUUAUAAUACAUAAAUGUAAAACAUGAUUAUGACUUUACCCAAAAAUAUCAUCUCUCCUCUAUUUUUACAAGUUGUGCCCCAUUAUUUUAGCUCUGUUACCAUCUUUUGGUGAUACUAUUGCAAAGAAUAAAGAACUUAGAUGCUUAUCAAACUUGGUACAGAAAUUCACAAUUAACAAAUAUAGCAUGUUCCAUUAUAAGGUUUUAGGCAGAAAAUUGCUAAAUCAACAAUAAAGAUCUACCAAAUGUCACAAUAUUUAAUUUGAAAUCUUAAAAUGAGAGUAGCAGAAACUGCUUCUCCUCCUUCAAAUUAUUUCUAUAAUAUCUGGUGUCUGGAGUAUUGAAAACCAUUUUACCUGGCUAUCCACAGUCUUCUCAGGAGUGUCAAGAGUACCUGAAACUUUUUUCUUCUUCUUACGUAAAACCUUAAAAUAAAUUUUAAAACACAUCAAUUUGAAUAUUGAUCAGCUACAGUAGUCUUGAAUAUGUUUUCCUACUUAUCCUUCUCUAAUAUCUUGCAUGUAAAAUGAUAAAAAAAAUUUUACCUGGCCUUUUGUAGACGUCUGACGAUUAGUUUUUGAAAUACUUUCCGUUUUCUGUAAAAUCUUUAAUAAAGAAGUUAGAAAUUG